AGCAUUUAAGAGCCCCAUGAAGCUCCUACCCUGGUUGACCUUGUACUGGUUGACCUCCUUCAUUUGUGAUUCAAAACUCAUUGAGUAAAGACCUAUAUUGGUGCUCUCCCCUGCCUUCAAUAGAAUCAAUCGCUUUAGAUUCAUCACAAUGUAAUGGAACAAUUCUCUACCGCGCACUCGUUGUGAGUUGUAUUCAACUUGGGAGUGAUCCUUCCAGCCUUCCAACGAGUUGUUCCCCCUCUCCAGCUUCGAUCCCAAUUCCCAAGUACCACGUCCCAAGAAGGAAUCAAACCAGUGCCUUGCCCGCCCUCCUCAGUCUCAACCAUGGAACACAAGGAACGCGAGGAACAAGGCGUUGCCGGUCCAACAACCACGAACGAGUUGUCGAAGCCUGUGGAGUCAGAGGAGGAUUUCCUGCUCCAUUUAGUUGCUCGAGACGAGGGAACCGAUCCAGGUGAACCAGUCCAAGGAGACUUGAAACAACAACCGAACCCGGGAAAUCAUCCGACCGUCAAGCUGGCUUCCAAUACUGAGGAGACGAGUGGUGCGGAAAAGCCCAAAGAAUACAUUUCCAAAAGCAUGGAGGCUUGCUUCAAGGCGUUCGAUAAAGACGAGGAUAACUCGUUGAAUGUCAACGAGUUCACUGCUCUCCUCAAGGCUCUCUUUAGAAAUGAGAAGGGCAAGUCCUAUCCGUUAGAUACGUACAUGUGCAAUGACCUCUUCUCCAUUUUCAACAUCAGUGGGGAUGGCAGCAUGAACAAGGAGGAGUUUGUGUAUUGUUGGAACAAUUGGAUCAAAAAGGUUGUUCGUCCCGUCUCCGCUUUCAUUGUGGUGGACGUUCAAAAUGACUUCAUUGAUGGUUCUUUGUCCAUUUCCAACUGCCCUGCGGGUCAACAUGGCGUAGAGGUUAUCGACCCGAUCAACAAGCUUUUGGACACGGUUCCUUUCGAUGUGUACUGCUACAGCUUGGACUGGCAUCCCUCCGACCAUCUAUCAUUUGUGGACAACGUAAAGCUACGGCAACUGCACGAAACCAGUUUGAUCCAAGACCCGGACAAAGCCUCCAUGUACGACACGGUGGUCUUCACGGGGCCCCCUCUGACCGAGCAAACUCUAUGGCCACGACAUUGUGUUCAAGAGACUUGGGGAGCGGAAUUUCACAAGGAUCUUAAGGUGGUUUCGAAUGCAAUGGUCGUUCAUAAAGGCAUCAAUCCGGACAUUGAUUCGUAUUCGGCCUUCUAUGACAACAAGAAGAUCAGCCAUACCGAAAUGGAAGCCCAUUUAAGAUCCAAGAAUGUCACAGACAUCUUUGUUUGCGGAAUAGCCUAUGACGUGUGCGUCGCUUUAACGGCUUUUCAUGGAUUGGAACUAGGAUUUCGCACGAUGCUGGUGGACGAUUGCAGCCGCGGUAUCCGGGACGAUGUCAUCAACAACACGAAGGACAAGAUCAAGACUGGACACGGCCUGAUCGUGGACUCCCAUGAGGUGAAGGCGAUGGUGCAAGGUCGCGAUCGACGUGUGGAGUUGGGCUAUUUCCUCGCCCUCCAAUGUCGGAAGCAAAUCAUUUAUCCUCUCAAGAACAAGAACAGCCGAUUCAAUAAACUACCUGCGGCCUUGGGACAAAAAGAUGGAAACGCGAGCAACAGUAACGCCCCCGGAAGCGACGGCCAACCCGUUGAGAAUGACGACAACACCUCGAAUAGCAACCACAACGCCGUCAAAGCAAGUGCAUAGAAAGCAAAUACGAUAUACAUAGAUGAUAUGGGAGCUUGCCCUAAACACACCUAAUCAGGAGACGACUUUUGUACAGUUAUUCUAUCAAGACUUGGUUGCAUUUUGUAAUUUCGUAACUGCACAACAACAACAUCAAGCAACAUUAUCAGCGGAACGACUUUAAUUACUUUCUUGAACCGCCCUCUGGCUCCACUGUCACCAUCGUCAUCGUGGUACGUUCACCCUAGAUUUACGAUUCAUAUCAAUAUCAUUAUUACCAUUAUUAUUAUCAAUAUCGCUACUCUGAUAUGUUAUUAUAGUCUCUAGUUCACCCCUUGCACAUGGCUCCAAUGGGUUCUAAAUUAAAGGCCUCUGUCUGUCUCACUGUCUGUCUGUUCAUCUACAGCCCGAGAAAUGAAAAUGCAAAUUGUCUACCAACUCUAAAAAAACCAACGAUGGCCAGAUGAAUCUUCUUUGUAACGAUUUGAUUGUUUAAUAAUGCCCCUAAAAAGAGCAGUUUUCUUCAACUCUCACCAUUUCUUUAACACUUGGAAACACACAAAGUAGCCUUAAAAUUGUGACCCCUGCAAACCAAAGAAGCUCAUUUAAUCAUUUGUUGUACUAACGUCAUAUGUGUUCUGCAAUGUAUUGAACUACAAAUUUCACAUUUUCGUUUGAGUAUUCUGAAGGAGACCAAAAAUUUGUAUGACGUAAAUUCAGAUUGUAGGAUAUGGAACCUAAUCCCAGUGUAAUGAAUAGCUCCAACGAUGAAAAACAAGUUUUUGAGACUUGCACCGAAUACUGUUCAUUUUCCUCUUGGACCAUGGUUUCUGACCUUUUAGACCCAAAAAUGUUGUGGUCGACUAAAAUCCACUCAUUCGUUCCUGGAAGUAAAGUAAAAUUUAGGAAUUUGGUCUGUAUCUCCAACGGCUCUUUUUGUAAUACUCAUUUGAAAGCGAACAAACCAUAGAGUAAUACUAAUACUUCAAUCAUUGGCAAAUCACUCCUAGACACCCUAAAUAGCUAUUGUACUUUAAGUUUUUUAUUAAGAGAGAGCAGUCUGUAUAUGUUGAAGGAUCACCCUCAACCCGAAUAAUAUCCAAAUGUUCUCAAGAAAUAAGUAUGUUUCCUUAUAACGUUAAGAAACUCUUAUCAUUUCCAACCACCAUUGUUGCUCUUAUACUCUUAAGCAGUGAAAUAUUCCAUGUAACUAGUUUGCUAGCAUUCAAAAGGCCUCCGUCAAGCACUCGGAUGACCUUCGACAAAUUCUAAGUGACCUUCUUGAAAGACGAUUUGGUGUACACCCAUUGGUUUAUGUGCUUCAAAGCUACUACUGUAUUGUUAUCAUGUAGAGGUGAAAGGAUAAUAAACAAAUGCAAGUUCGUUAGUGAAACAAGAA